GUUUGUGUUGGUGGAGAGAGUUAAUCUAACUUUGAUAGUCUCAGUUUAUUUUAGGCACUGAACAAUUCGGACUUGCCGUUUUUACUUAGAUGUUGUUUUUGCAAGAAGGUUUUGGCAAGUGUUUCACUGAUGUUUGUUCCGUUUAGUCAACUGAAACUUUUGACCUUAUUUCUACUUUUUAAAGGCGCAUACAGCGACCUACAAGCCUACGGAUGUGAUGAGGGCUGGACCAAUCACGGGGAGCACUGCUACUUGCUGGUGGGUGGCAACGCUGGCGCCGACUCUGCCAGAUUGAGCUGCCAGGCAAUGGGCUCGUCUCUAGCCAGUGUCUGGAGUCAAGUGGAAAAAGAUUUUAUAUUGUCUUUAUGGAGGUAUCCAGCGGAACAAAUCAGUUUCCUGUGGAUCGGAUUGAGAGGAACAUCGGAUGGUCUGUGGAGUUACGAUGAUAGUUCGUUAUUUAAAAAAA
rnacentral:sRNA from 1 species